AGAGUUUGAUCCUGGCUCAGAACGAACGCUGGCGGCGUGGAUAAGACAUGCAAGUCGAACGGGAUUUUUCUUGGUAGCAAUACCGAGGAAAGUUCAGUGGCGAACGGGUGCGUAACACGUGGGCAAUCUGCCGAGAAGUGGGGGAUAGCUCGCCGAAAGGCGAAUUAAUACCGCAUGUGAUCAGAGGCGACAUCGCUUCGAAAUCAAAGGUGGCGCAAGCUACCGCUUUUUGAGGAGCCCGCGGCCUAUCAGCUUGUUGGUGAGGUAACGGCUCACCAAGGCGUUGACGGGUAGCUGGUCUGAGAGGACGACCAGUCACACUGGGACUGAGACACGGCCCAGACACCUACGGGUGGCAGCAGUCGAGAAUUUUUCUCAAUGGGGGAAACCCUGAAGGAGCGACGCCGCGUGGAGGAUGAAGGUCUUCGGGUUGUAAACUCCUGUCAUUUGGGAACAAGGUGCGCGCGUUAACUGCGCGCGCAUUGAUAGUACCAGAAGAGGAAGAGACGGCUAACUCUGUGCCAGCAGCCGCGGUAAUACAGAGGUCUCAAGCGUUGUUCGGAUUCAUUGGGCGUAAAGGGUGCGUAGGUGGCGUGGUAAGUCGGGUGUGAAAUUUCGGAGCUUAACUCCGAAACUGCAUUCGAUACUGCCGUGCUUGAGGACUGGAGAGGAGACUGGAAUUUACGGUGUAGCAGUGAAAUGCGUAGAGAUCGUAAGGAAGACCAGUGGCGAAGGCGGGUCUCUGGACAGUUCCUGACACUGAGGCACGAAGGCCAGGGGAGCAAACGGGAUUAGAUACCCUAGUAGUCC
rnacentral:rRNA from 1 species